rnacentral:sRNA from 1 species
GCUAGGCGUGGUGGUGCACACCUGUAAUCCCAGCCACUCAGGGGCUAAGACAGGAUCACAAAUUUAAGGCCAGCCUCAGCAACAUAGUGAGGCCCUAAGCAACUUUGAGACCCUGUCUCUA